GACGAACGCUAGCGGCAGGCCUAAUACAUGCAAGUCGAACGGGAUCUGAGGGUAGCUUGCUACCCGAUUUGAGAGUGGCGCACGGGUGCGUAACGCGUGAGCAACCUACCCAUAUCAGGGGGAUAGCCCGGAGAAAUUCGGAUUAACACCGCAUAAGAAUGUAUUAUCACAUGUUAAAGCAUUUAAAUAUUUAUAGGAUAUGGAUGGGCUCGCGUGACAUUAGCUAGUUGGUGAGGUAACGGCUCACCAAGGCGACGAUGUCUAGGGGCUCUGAGAGGAGAAUCCCCCACACUGGUACUGAGACACGGACCAGACUCCUACGGGAGGCAGCAGUAAGGAAUAUUGGUCAAUGGGCGGAAGCCUGAACCAGCCAUGCCGCGUGCAGGACGACUGCCCUAUGGGUUGUAAACUGCUUUUGUCGAGGAAUAAACCUAUCUACGUGUAGAUAGUUGAACGUACUCGAAGAAUAAGGAUCGGCUAACUCCGUGCCAGCAGCCGCCGUAA
rnacentral:rRNA from 1 species